rnacentral:lncRNA from 1 species
CAAUCAUGAAAGUUGAGUUGUAACAUCGCAUUAUUAAUAUACAUGAUUUUUCGGGUGUUAUGUGCAAGAAGAAAAACUAUAUUGUAUUAAUGUAAAAUAGGGACGAAAGAUACCAGAGCGACAGUCAAACUCAUAAAUCGAAAAUAAACUGACAACGCCAUAGCUAAAAAUGAAAAAGACAAACAGACAAACAAUAGUACACAUGACACAACAUAGAAAACUAAAGAAUAAGCAACACGAACCC